rnacentral:lncRNA from 1 species
UUUAGGGUCCACGGAAUCUGAUUUAGGGUCCAUGGAAUCUGAUUUAGAGUCUAUGGAAUCUGAUUUAGGGUCUAUGGAAUCUGAUUUAGGGUCUAUGGAAUCUGACUUGAGGUCCAUGGAAUCUGAUUGAAGGUCUAUGGAAUCUGAUUUAGGGUCCAUGGAAUCUGAUUUAGAGUCUAUUGAAUCUGAUUUAGGGUCUAUGGAAUCUGAUUUAGGGUCUAUGGAAUCUGACUUGGGGUCCAUGGAAUCUGAUUUAACAUCUAUGGAAUCUGAUUUAGGGUCUAUGGAAUCUGAUUUAGUGUCUAUGGAAUCCGAUUUAGGGUCCAUGUAAUCUGAUUUAGGGUCUAUGGAAUCUGAUUUAGGGUCUAUGGAAUCUGAUUUAGGGUCUAUGGAAUCUGACUUGGGGUCCAUGGAAUCUGAUUUAGCAUCUAUGGAAUCUGAUUUAGUGUCUAUGGAAUCUGAUUUAGGGUCCAUGGAAUCUGAUUUAGGGUCUAUGGAAUCUGAUUUAGGGUCUAUGGAAUCUGAUUUAGGGUCUAUGGAAUCUGAUUUAGGGUCUAUGGAAUCUGAUUUAGGGUCUAUGGAAUCUGAUUUAGGGUCCACGGAAUCUGAUUUAGGGUCUAUGGAAUCUGAUUUAGGGUCUAUGGAAUCUGAUUUAGGGUCUAUGGAAUCUGACUUGAGGUCCAUGGAAUCUGAUUGAAGGUCUAGGGAAUCUGAUUUAGGGUCCAUGGAAUCUGAUUUAGAGUCUAUUGAAUCUGAUUUAGGGUCUAUGGAAUCUGAUUUAGGGUCUAUGGAAUCUGACUUGGGGUCCAUGGAAUCUGAUUUAACAUCUAUGGAAUCUGAUUUAGGGUCUAUGGAAUCUGAUUUAGGGUAUAUGGAAUCUGACUUAGGGUCUAUGGAAUCUGAUUUAUGGUCGAUGGAAUCUGAUUUAGGGUCUAUGGAAUCUGACUUAGGGUCUAUGGAAUCUGACUUAGGGUCUACGGAAUCUGAUUUAGCGUCUAUGGAAUCUGAUUUAUUGUCUAUGGAACUUGAUUUAGGGUCUAUGGAAUCUGACUUAGGGUCUAUGGAAUCUGACUUAGGGUCUAUGGAAUCUUAUUUAGUGUCUAUGGAAUCCGAUUUAGGGUCUAUGGAAUCUGAUUUAAGGUCCAUGGAAUCAGAUUUAUGGUCUAUGGAAUCUGACUUACGGUCUAUGGAAUCUGACUUAGGGUCUAUGGAAUCUGAUUUAGGGUCUAUGGAAUCUGAUUUAGGGUCUAUGGAAUCUGAUUUAGGGUCUAUGGAAUCUGACUUGGGGUCCAUGGAAUCUGAUUUAGGGUCUAUGGAAUUUGAUUCAGGGUCUAUGGAAUCUGAUUUAGGGUCUAUGGAAUCUGAUUCAGGGUCUAUGGAAUCUGAUUUAGGGUCUAUGGAGUCUGAUUUAGGGUCUAUGGAAUCUGAUUUAGGGUCUAUGGAAUCUGAUUUAGGUCUAUGGAACCUGAUUUAGGGUCUAUGGAAUCUGAUUUAGCGUCUAUGGAAUCUGAUUUAGGGUCUAUGGAAUCUGAUUUAGAGUCUAUGGAAUCUGACUUAGGGUCUAUGGAAUCUGAUUUAUGGUCUAUGGAAUCUGAUUUAGGGUCUAUGGAAUCUGACUUAGGGUCUAUGGAAUCUGAGUUAGGGUCUGUGGAAUCUUAUUUAGUGUCUAUGGAAUCCGAUUUAGGGUCUAUGGAAUCUGAUUUAAGGUCCAUGGAAUCAGAUUUAUGGUCUAUGGAAUCUGACUUAGGGUCUAUGGAAUCUGACUUAGGGUCUAUGGAAUCUGACUUAG